GACGAACGCUGGCGGCGUGCCUAAUACAUGCAAGUCGAGCGAAGUUUUUCUGGUGCUUGCACCGGAAAAACUUAGCGGCGAACGGGUGAGUAACACGUAAAGAACCUGCCUCAUAGACUGGGACAACUAUUGGAAACGAUAGCUAAUACCGGAUAACAGCAUUAACUGCAUGGUUGAUGUUUAAAAGUUGGUUUUGCUAACACUAUGAGAUGGCUUUGCGGUGCAUUAGCUAGUUGGUAAGGUAACGGCUUACCAAGGCAAUGAUGCAUAGCCGAGUUGAGAGACUGAUCGGCCACAUUGGGACUGAGACACGGCCCAAACUCCUACGGGAGGCAGCAGUAGGGAAUCUUCCACAAUGGACGCAAGUCUGAUGGAGCAACGCCGCGUGGGUGAAGAAGGGUUUCGGCUCGUAAAGCUCUGUUGGUAGUGAAGAAAGAUAGAGGUAGUAACUGGCCUUUAUUUGACGGUAAUUACUUAGAAAGUCACGGCUAACUACGUGCCAGCAGCCGCGGUAAUACGUAGGUGGCAAGCGUUGUCCGGAUUUAUUGGGCGUAAGCGAGUGCAGGCUGGUUCAAUAAGUCUGAUGUGAAAUCCUUCGGCUCAACCGGAGAAUUGCAUUCAAAACUGUUGAACUUGAGUGCAGAAGAGGAGAGUGGAACUCCAUGUG
rnacentral:rRNA from 1 species